ensembl:lncRNA
UAAAUAUCUCACAAUAAGUUUAAUUAUAGAUUACUGUUAUACUAAGAAACUAUAAAACACAAAAUUAAUAGUAGAUGUUACCUUGAUGGACAUUCUUAAAUGUAGCAUGGUGAUUGGUUUUGGUAAUUGAAAAAGCUUUACAGGUUAAUAAGUCGCUUUGUUGCUUUGGCAGAAUAUACUUCUAGCUCUUGCAGAAAAGACCUUCCUCUGACCCCAAAAUACACCUGUUAGGAUGCGUCUUAGGUAACAGUUCAAACACUGCUUGCAGAUGUAAUUGGAGGUUCCUGUCAAAAUUACGUCCCUAAAACUAAGGACGUGGGAACAAACUAACUUGUUUUUUAGACUCUAGUGCUUGCUCCAUUUUGCAGGAAAAAAAAAUCCCACAAAUUUGAAGGUAAUCAGUCUGAGGUUUUCUUAGCAUAUUAUCAACCAUCUAGCUCACCACGAAACUCCAUGUGAUCAUUCAAUAGCUGAGCUCUUCUUCAGUCACCUGGAAUUUCAAUUGUUAAGAUUAGCUUGUUUAGCCUUAAGUUUGACAUUCUGAAAGGGCCCUAGCACACAUUCCACCCCUUCCAAUCAAGUAUUUUCCCAACAGUCACUAUCUGAAAAUAGAAACAUCUGACGGGCCAAGUCUGAUUGUGACAUCACCACAUCUAAUCUCAGUCUUUUGACAUCUUCCACCAGAGCAGCUUUUCUUUUUCCCAGGGUUCCCUGCUCAGCAAAUUCACGACUGAGUAGCAGAGAGACUAUUGCUACUCUACUCACCAGGCAUUUUCCAUCUCCAAUAUUCCUUCCUCUUAAUGCCUUAUUACCACGAUGCUCCUCCAGUGACGUCGACCAAAAAGAAAAUGACACUCCCAUCCCCACAUAACCACCAAAGUAGUAAAUCUCUAGGAAGCUCUAAAUCUCAAAUUCUGGAGACCAGUAAAGAAUUUGGUUUAAAUUCUGGACAGGCUGGGGCAGAGCUGGCCAGCUGGGCACCAGCAGGAGCACUGGUUGCUGUCUUCCGACUCCAGAUGUAGUGCCAGCUGUUUCAAGCUCCCGCUGCCCUCACUUCCCACCAUGAAAGAGUGUGGGCUCAAACACACCUUUGGUUCCUUAUGCUCUAUUAUCACAGCAGCAAAAGAGAAAAGGACACAGAGAGCCUGUGAGCGGCCUACAGUACAAUGAAAGUUACAGGGCAGCUCUAGGUAAUACAGCCACCUCGAAAAGCUAAAAAUGAAAACACACACACACACACACACACACACACACACACACACACACACACACACACGAAAACCAAAAAACAAAGCGGGGGAAAAAAGGAAAGUUAGAAAACACACUCACAUUCAAGACAAAUGCAGAGACACAUUUUCAAGAGUAGGGCGGUAUUCGUAUGUUAAACUUUAAAAACACCAAAGCUAAUUUUUGAAACUAAGUUUAAAAGGUUGUUUGGGACCUAGGAGGAAGGACGGGUACUGAGCGUGAAGGCACAGCUCUGGAGACAGACAGUGGCUGUAGGUGGGAGGUGGUAGGGCGGUAUCAGGUCUGGCUUAGGGCACAAAACAUUAGGCAGUGGGAAGCAGUCGUGGUGGAGUCAAGCCCAGGCAAGUCUUGUCCAGCAUUUGCCUGAACAGAACUGCCUAUCAAUGCAAAACUACUUCCACAGUGCUGUUUGACGGAGGCUUCUAUCCAUAGAAUACAGUGGGUUUGUAAAGAUCAGUGAGAGGAUACAAUUUUAUCUGACCAUGAACUCCAAAAUGCUUAGUAGAUGACAGCAAGAGCUCAGUAUCUGACUUUGCUCGCUUGCUUACUUGUUUGUGGGAGGAUUGGUUUCCUAUGCGACAGCACACAUGAGGAGUCCAUACACACUUAAAGCUGAAGAUAUUAACCACGACAGCUGCCAACCAGAGACAGGAGACGUAAAAACGGAAAUAUCCAACCACUAAUAUGAUGAUUCUAAAGCUGUGGAAACCUCGUACAGAAGCCGAGUUGUUAGCAACAAGGGCUCUGAAAACCACAGAAGGGUUAAGGCUUCCGACCCUGAAAAAUGACACCGACACAUGGAGGAAAGGAGAAAGGGUACCUGGCCAGUCACCUUGGGCACACAUUUCUAAUGGUGAUUUGUAAGAUCUUUUCCUUGUUAUCAUUCUUCUAAUCUGCAUGAGUGCUUUAUGCAAACUGAGAUGAUAAAGAAGAAUCUAAGGGGCCCUGUCCUAGCAAUCAUGGAGUUAAGGGAUGUUCCCUUAACUGUGCUGGCUUUACAGAAAUAAUAUUAACGGAACUCUUGGAAACUGUGCAGUAAUUUAACCUUUAUACAACCUGUUAUUUGAAAUUUAGUAUUUACUGGGCCUUAAGCAUGAAUACUCCUUUUCCUUACAAAGUCCCAUGACCACAAUACAUGAAUAUGCAGAUAUACUUGAGGGACUCAAUCAUUGUAGAUGCUCGUUUUUGUCAAAUAUUCUUCAGGAAAAAAAAAAA